GGAUGAAGCCGAGCAACGUGUAGCUCUGUGUGGAAUCCUAGCCGUCCAACAGUUUCAACCCACUAGUGAAUUCACGUUUCUUGAAAACUGAAUAGGUGUAUGCGAGUCUUUUCCUAAAGUGGGUGAGAUUUUGGGCAGAGCCUCAACUGAAGAAAAAAGUAAGCUCUACCAUUUUACACUCAAUUAAAAAGCUCAUGCAUAGCUCUCUCUCUCUCUCUAAGAAUUUUCAUAUGCCAUACUAAUACUUGUCCAUCUGUCUUCUUUGCAGAGUAAAAUCACGUUUCUUGAAAACUUAGGUAUACCGCUUUCUCAACCCUCUUCUCUUUUGCUCCCAUUUUCUCUUCUUCUCAUCUUCUUCUUGUGUUAAAGUCCCUCGAUAUAUAUUGAUACAUCAUCCCGCUCAAGCUUUUAGAAUAAUUGGUUGUUUAAAAUGAUAUUAGAUAAAAUACUUAAGAAUUUUGGAUAUGAAAAUCCGUAAUUAUGAAAGUUCAGAAUUUUAAAAUAAUUAAAAAAAUAAAACUAAAUUUAUAAAUUUGAAUAAAGAGAAAUUUAGAAAACUUAUUUGAUUCGAGGUGAGACGAAAGUCACUUGUCUUGAAAUUGAUUUGCUCUCAUUUGGACAAUGUCUAUAGUGCAAAAGAAAUAUUGGACAAUCAACCUCUAGAAUACUCUCGAAUAUUGUCCCAUCAUACCGACGCACUUGAUAUAUGAAGACUUAAAAAGUAUUUGUAUGUCUAACUCGAAGGUUGAACUAAAUGAAC